rnacentral:tRNA from 1 species
UGUGGCUUAAUGGUAGAGCACUUGCCUUGCAAGCACAAGGGUCUGGAUUCAAUCCCUAGCA